rnacentral:rRNA from 1 species
UGAUGGCGAGUGGCGAACGGGUGAGUAAUACAUCGGAACGUGCCCUGUAGUGGGGGAUAACUAGUCGAAAGAUUAGCUAAUACCGCAUACGACCUGAGGGUGAAAGUGGGGGACCGCAAGGCCUCAUGCUAUAGGAGCGGCCGAUGUCUGAUUAGCUAGUUGGUGGGGUAAAGGCCCACCAAGGCGACGAUCAGUAGCUGGUCUGAGAGGACGAUCAGCCACACUGGGACUGAGACACGGCCCAGACUCCUACGGGAGGCAGCAGUGGGGAAUUUUGGACAAUGGGCGAAAGCCUGAUCCAGCAAUGCCGCGUGUGUGAAGAAGGCCUUCGGGUUGUAAAGCACUUUUGUCCGGAAAGAAAUGGCUCUGGUUAAUACCUGGGGUCGAUGACGGUACCGGAAGAAUAAGGACCGGCUAACUACGUGCCAGCAGCCGCGGUAAUACGUAGGGUCCAAGCGUUAAUCGGAAUUACUGGGCGUAAAGCGUGCGCAGGCGGUUGUGCAAGACCGAUGUGAAAUCCCCGAGCUUAACUUGGGAAUUGCAUUGGUGACUGCACGGCUAGAGUGUGUCAGAGGGGGGUAGAAUUCCACGUGUAGCAGUGAAAUGCGUAGAGAUGUGGAGGAAUACCGAUGGCGAAGGCAGCCCCCUGGGAUAACACUGACGCUCAUGCACGAAAGCGUGGGGGAGCAAACAGGAUUAGAUACCCUGGUAGUCCACGCCCUAAACGAUGUCAACUAGUUGUUGGGGGAUUCAUUUCCCUUAGUAACGUAGCUAACGCGUGAAGUUGACCGCCUGGGGGAGUACGGUCGCAAGAUUAAAACUCAAAGGAAUUGACGGGGACCCGCACAGCGUGGAUGAAUGUGGAAUAGUCGAUGCACGCGAA